rnacentral:misc_RNA from 1 species
AUGUCAAUAUAUAAUUCAAUCGAUCACGCACAUUUAAUUUCAUUAGUGAAAUAAAACAUAAUAUUUACAUCUUUAUCGUUAGCCAAACCCAUGCAGUCCCAUUUCACUAAACCAUCUCCUACAAUGGGUUGUCUAAAUAAGACAUUCGAUAUAAAUUUACGUCCAAUUUUAAGACAAAUUCCAUGGACUAUUUUCAUACCUAAAGUACCA